UACAGAGGUCCCGAGCGUUUGUUCGGAUUCAUUGGGCGUAAAGGGUGCGUAGGCGGCGCGGUAAGUCGGGUGUGGAAUCUCGGAGCUUAACUCCGAAACUGCAUUCGAUACUGCCGUGCUUGAGGACUGGAGAGGAGACUGGAAUUUACGGUGUAGCGGUGAAAUGCGUAGAUAUCGUAAGGAAGACCAGUGGCGAAGGCGGGUCUCUGGACAGUUCCUGACGCUGAGGCACGAAGGCGUGGGGAGCAAACAGG
rnacentral:rRNA from 1 species